rnacentral:rRNA from 1 species
AACGCUAGCUACAGGCUUAACACAUGCAAGUCGAGGGGUAGCACGGAAGAAGCUUGCUUCUUUGGGUGACGACCGGCGCACGGGUGAGUAACGCGUAUCCGACCUGCCCAUGACUCGGGCACAGCCGCUCGAAAGAGCGAUUGAUUCCCGAUAUGUCUAUGAAGUAGAUUCCUGGAUGAAAGAUUUAUCGGUCAUGGAUGGGGAUGCGUAGGAUUAGGUAGUAGGCGGGGUAACGGCCCACCUAGCCGACGAUCCUUAGGGGUUCUGAGAGGAAGGUCCCCCACACUGGUACUGAGACACGGACCAGACUCCUACGGGAGGCAGCAGUGAGGAAUAUUGGUCAAUGGGCGGAAGCCUGAACCAGCCAAGUAGCGUGAAGGAUUACUGCCCUACGGGUUUUAAACUUCUUUUAUGCGAGAGUAAUGUGCGCUACGUGUAGCGUAUUGCAAGUAUCGCAUGAAUAAGCAUCGGCUAACUCCGUGCCAGCAGCCGCGGUAAUACGGAGGAUGCGAGCGUUAUCCGGAUUUAUUGGGUUUAAAGGGAGCGUAGGCGGGAUAUUAAGUCAGUCGUCAAAGCCUGUGGCUCAACCACAGCCCGCGAUUGAUACUGGUAACCUUGAGUGCGGAUGAGGUGGAUGGAAUUCGUGGUGUAGCGGUGAAAUGCUUAGAUAUCACGAAGAACUCCGAUUG